rnacentral:sRNA from 1 species
AUAAUAAUUAGGAUGGUGCAUUAUUCUAGUUACACUAUCUAUUAGGAGGGUGGGGCUAAAAAUCCACUAAAAGGCACAUCGAUGAAUUUUCUUGUCUAUGCGCGUUACGCCCAGUUUUGUGUGUAUUCAGGAAGUAAGAUUUUAGGGUAAAAUAUAACGGCAUAUAUUGUAUCCCUGAUUUCGCGGAGGCUUAAAUUGUUUCAUAUAUAAUUUGAACUUUUAAGAUAAACCUAUGUUGCGUGCCAAGACACAACACAUAGAGUAGCCUGUCUCGAGUGAUAUUUUGGAAUUUAUCGCAAGGUGAUAUUUUACUUUUGGCCAAAAUGUAUUUAUUACUGAUAAUGAAACUAAUGUUGCAAAAAAGACUAGUAAUAGAAUAAGUGUAAUAAAGGAAAACUUCUAGGGUGUUUGUCUUAAUAUAUAAAGACAAGGCUUUUUAAGGAUUAAGGUAUGGAUUUAAGUGGCGAUCCAGUUUAUUAUUAGGCGACUAAUAAUAUGUUUCUUUUAAAUGGAAACAGCUAAACAGUAAUGUUUAGUAAGAAACAGAGAAAUUCUACUGGACCUAAACCAUAAAAUUUACUUAAAAUGCUACCAUCUAAAUAUAAUUU